CUUCGAAUUGGGAGGGUGAUCCUCCCGGUGAUCUGACCGUGCCCCAAACCGACACAGGUGAACAAGUUGAGUAUACUAGAGCGCUCGAGAGAAAACCAUGUCGAAGGAACUCGGCACAAUGAUCCCGUAACUUUGAGAUAAGGGGUGCUCUCCUAUCUUUUGAUUAGGAAAGCGACACUUACUAAGGGGUAGUGACUGUUUAUUAAAAACACAAGACUCUGCUAAGUGGUAAUAAGAUGUAUAGAGUCUGACACCUGCCCCAUGCUGGAAGGUCGGAAGGAGAAGUCUUAUAAGCUUUGAAUGGAAUCCCCGGUAAACGGCAUCAGUAACUCUAACUGUCCUAAGGUAUUGAAAUUCCUUGUCGCAUAAGUAGCGACCUGCACGAAUGGUGUAAUGACUGCCUUGCUGUCUUCGACAUGGACCCGGUGAAAUUGAAUUCUCUGUGAAGAUACGAAAUACCAACGGCUAGACCCCAUGCACCUUGACUAUAGCUUCACAGUGACAACCUUGAUCGAAUGUGUAGGAUAGGUGGGAGGUGGUGACACAGAUCUCCCAAUCCUGAAAGACCACUCUUUCAUCUAAGGAUGCCAAACAGCCACAUCGAUCAUUCGGGGGGGGGGGGGGGACAUUGUGAGGUGGGUAGUUUAUCUGGGGCAGAUGCCUCCUAAAGAGUAACGGAGGUGUGCGAAGGUAGGCUCAAGCUAAGAUUAUGCUCGUGAACGUAAUGGGAUAAGCCUCCCUGACUGUGAGACCGACUGGUUGAAAAGAGACGAAAGUCGGCCAUAGUGAUCCGAGGGUCCCGUGUGGAAGAGCUUUUCUCAACAGAUCAAAGGUAUGCCAAGGAUAACAGGCUUAUGACUCCCAAUAGCUCUUAUCGACGGAGUCAUUUGGCACCUUGAUGUCAACUCAUCACAUCAUGGGGUUGAAGAAGGUCUCAAGGGUUCGAUUAUUCACUUAUUAAAGUGGUAUGUGAGUUGGGUUUAGAAUGUCGUGAGACAGUUCAGUUCCUAUCUACCGUUGGUGUUAAAGAGUACGAGAGGACUGGGUUGGGCCAAUCUAUGGUGAAGCGGUUGUUAUGCCAAUAACAGCGCCGGGCAGCUAAGUUGGUAUGAAAGAACUGCUGUGCCGCAUCUGAGCUGAGCUAUAGACUCACUCUCAAAGCCACGAGAGGAGUUUACAUCAGUUUAAUCACUCGUUGUUUUAAACGUUGGAAAUCCUUCUCUAUACAAGUUCUUGUACAACGUUUUUAACAGAACUUCAAUAGGCGAGAGGUGUAAGCACCGCGAGGUGUGAAGCGAUCUCGUACUAAACUAAA
rfam:Amborella trichopoda AMTR_V1.0_contig_44402, whole genome shotgun sequence.